AGAGUUUGAUCCUGGCUCAGGAUGAACGCUGGCGGUAUGCCUAACACAUGCAAGUCGAACGAUGUCUUCGGACAUAGUGGCGGACGGGUGAGUAACGCGUGAGAAUCUGCCUCUAGGAUGGGGAUAACGGUUGGAAACGACCGCUAACACCCAAUAUGCCGUAAGGUGAAAAAUUUAUUGCCUGGAGAGGAGCUCGCGUCUGAUUAGCUAGUUGGUGGGGUAAGAGCUCACCAAGGCUUCGAUCAGUAGCUGGUCUGAGAGGAUGAGCAGCCACACUGGGACUGAGACACGGCCCAGACUCCUACGGGAGGCAGCAGUGGGGAAUUUUCCGCAAUGGGCGAAAGCCUGACGGAGCAAUACCGCGUGAGGGAGGAAUGCCUUUGGGUUGUAAACCUCUUUUCUCAGGGAAGAAGAUCUGACGGUACCUGAGGAAUAAGUAUCGGCUAACUCCGUGCCAGCAGCCGCGGUAAUACGGAGGAUGCAAGCGUUAUCCGGAAUCAUUGGGCGUAAAGCGUCCGCAGGUGGUUUCCAAAGUCUGCUGUUAAAGACUGGAGCUCAACUCCGGAACGGCGGUGGAAACUUGGAAACUAGAGUUCGGUAGGGGUAGCAGGAAUUCCCAGUGUAGCGGUGAAAUGCGUAGAUAUUGGGAAGAACAUCGGUGGCGAAGGCGUGCUACUGGACCGUAACUGACACUCAGGGACGAAAGCUAGGGGAGCGAAAGGGAUUAGAUACCCCUGUAGUCCUAGCUGUAAACGAUGGAAACUAGGUGUGGCUUGUAUCGACCCGAGCCGUGCCGUAGCUAACGCGUUAAGUUUCCCGCCUGGGGAGUACGCACGCAAGUGUGAAACUCAAAGGAAUUGACGGGGG
rnacentral:rRNA from 1 species